AGAAGCGAGUCUCAGCCUCCCAUUCUUUUCCUUUUGUUCUCAGCAGCAUCAGGACAGAGUGAACAGGGGAAAUGAAGGUGGAACAUUGAAAGGGACUCCAGUAUGAUCCCUGUGCUCCUAUCUUCCUUACGUAUCACCCAAUAUCCUGGUUUCCCAGGUUUGGAGAGUUACCUAAAGAGAAACAGAAGAGUGAAGGAAGCUGAAUUCUACUCUGGAAAGGGUAGCACCGUGGUACCAUCCACAUUCAUCAGCUGUGUAUCCCAAUGCCUUCUGUGAGAUGUGCCAUGGAACAACUGUUAAAGUCGGGCCACUGUUGUCCUGGGAGUCCCUGAAGAUGCUGCUCCCUCCACAGGCAUGUUCACUCCCGUGGUUUCCGUGAGACAAUCUUCACCCACUCUGCCCUCUGCACUCCCAGGAAGCCCCCCAGGAGAAUUACCAGCCUCUUGUCUGAGCCUUCUGCACCUCCACCCUCCAUUUUCUCUUCUGACCUGAGGACCCCCUUAUGUGACUUACCUUCACCCUCACCACUCAGUCACUCUCUGCUCCCAAUGCCUGUUCCUCCCUUGGAUUCCACAUUCCCAGGGGACAUUCUGGACUUGCCUUUCUUCCUCUCCCACCGUGUGACACUCAGGGAGCAGAUGUUGUUCUCUAAGCAGAGGGGACUUUCUCUCUGAACACUGUCAAGUGAUUUUGAUCUCUGCCUUUCCUGAGAUAUCAAUCUCUUACCAAGUUUAUCCCAGAAAAUUGUCACAAAGAUUCAAAUGUUGAUCAUCAGGAACCAACAGCCUGUCUGCUUCACCACCACCACAUGGCAUUUUAGCUGUGACUCAACCCGAACAUGUUUCCAUCUAAGGAAGCUUGUUCUGGAGACGUUCUCUCCAGAUGGUGCUGAUGAGCUGUUCACUAUGUCUGAGCAAUCAGAGGUACUGACCCUCCAAGCAGUGUCAGAAUGCUCCUGCAGGAGCCUCCACCUCUGUCGUUUCUUCCCCUUCAAAUUCUAAGGCUUCAUGUGUGGGAGACCCUGUAGCCAACUUGUAACAUCUGUUUCUCUUUCCUUGCCCAAGUCCGAUGUUCUGGCCUUCUGGAGAGACAAGUUUAAAACCGUGGUGAUUUCAUAAUGUGGAAGGAAAAGAAAAAGAAAACAGGUUCUUUCCCAAACAACUUAGGCCAGACUCCCAACUACCAAACUUUGCUAUGUAUAAUGUGCAAAUUUUUGCCCUAUUUUUUGAGGGAUAAACACGAAUGCACAUCAUAUGCGGGUAGUAGGGCUUGGGAUUGUAUGUGUGCAAUGGGCUCCCUGGAGCUGUUGUGCUAUCUCUCUUGGGCCUACGGAGUUUUGGGGGCUCCAGUCCAGGAGAAUCCCAUAUUUGCCUGGGAGUGAGCCAGUGUGGCCUCCGCCUAGUGGCAUGACCAAGGGAGGGGGCUGUGGAGGGGCUGGCGUGGCAGGCCCUGGCCUUGUGGGGUGGAAUGUGUGGCCCAUGGUGUUCCUGCAUGGAGUGGGUUGGGAGCUCUGCACAUAGAGGAUUCAGUGGCCUCUUCAGAGACGUUUUGGAGCUCUGCACAGGUGGGUUUGGGAGACCUGUGCAGGCCUCAGGGACCAUCAUGGCUGCCCUUGGGCUGAGCAUCUCUGAAGGACCUGCAACAGUAGCCACAUGUGUGGGAAACCCCUGUGCAGGCCCUGAAGUGGUGAGGAGGGAAUGGCUCCUGUGAGCAUGGGAAAGGGGCAGCCUUCACAUAGAGUGUGACUGCAGAAGGGUGGUACAAUCUGCAUGUUUACAAAGGAAUGCUAGCCCUCUCCUCAUUUGUCUUUUGGCCAAGCGUUGAGUCGUGUUUUCCGGAAUGUUCGGGUCAAAAAUGUGGGUGCACAGUAUGCAUGGCAAAAAAUGGUCAAUUUUUCAUGGACAAUGUUAGGAUCAAUAGCCAACAAGCAUGGCUCAGCAGAUUCCCUUCCUUUGUGAACCCGCAAAGGCAAACCAGAAGACCUGCACGUGGACAGCAGCUCCUGUGUCCUAAGAACUUUGAGGAUGACAUAGAGCAAAAUACAUCCAGCUCUCCUGACUCUCCUGUCUCUGCACGGUGAGUCCCUGCACUUUGUGGUUCUUGUCCCAGGUGGCUGUUCCUCAAUAUCUGUGUUCUCCAAUCUCAAAUACUUUCACAGCUGAAGGAUCCCCAAUAGUUAACCAUCUCCAACCUUUCUCCAUGUGUUAAACCGUGCCCAAUCUCAGUCCUUAACCCUCACUCAGGUCCCUUUUCAGGCCCAAUUUCAAUUCCCGCUCCCAGUCCUAUCACCUUGUUCCUGAUCACAGAUUAGGUUCUGGGGAGUGUGUUUUCAUAAACCCCAGAAUGAGGCACAGUGUCUUAUGCCAUCUGGACAUUUCCCAUCUGGUCUGUAAUGUGUCACAGAAAGAACAGAAAAUUAUGUGGGGUUUAUACUUUGUGAUCAAGAGAAUUUUGUCCUCCUGUUCCCAACCUCACAUUGCCAAGUCAGUCCUCCAAGGUCUGUAUUCCAACCCCAUCCUUCCUGGAGAUUUUUCUCUCAGCACUGAGCUUCUGAAAAAAACAGGGCAGCAUCAUCACAAGAGAAUUUUGGAUUCAGCCAAAUAGGAAGCUUCUAAGAGAGAUUCUGAGAAAUGCUUCACUUAACAAGGAUACUCAGAAAAAUCAGGAACUUAGCCUGAGGAAUGGCUCAAAACAUCAUUUGUUGAGUGAUCCAGAGAGGUCUUCAGAUAAGGGUCUGGGCCUAACUCUCUGAAAGGUGUAGAAUUUCAGGGAAUAAUUCAAGGCCCUCAAGAGUGAUCCUAGGUCAGAAACAACUGGAACAUGUGGGAACAACAAAUUCUGAAGGUGCGAUGUCCAAGCCCCCACCCCAAAGAAGCUCUAAAGCUAGUCACGUAGGACGGAAUUCAGUUGCCAGCUGGGCUUAUCCACUCCUCCCUCCUCACCUGUGGGUAAAGGAAGGCCAGGGAGUCCUAAGAAAAUCUACGUUUUAUACGCAGAUUGAGCCAACAGAGAACUUACAGUUAAGAAUGGCAGGCAGACUCUUCUGUGCCCCCCUCAUGGAAGCCUAGACAAGAUGCAUGAGGACAUGCUUAGGAACACAUGUCUUCCCCACCCCUGUCACUGAAGGGGUGGCCUCCUACUGAACAUCACAUUAGAAAGUAAUCGCCUCCUUGUUGGCAGUGGAUUUCUAAAUGCAAAUAAAACAGAAGGGGCAAGAAGAUCCUCUGGAAAAGGGCAGUCCCCGAUUGUGUGAGACCAUUCCCCACCCAUGCCCAACAGAGAGCCUGUGCCCUAUACAUGACCCUAUGCAGGCUGCAAGUUGGCCUGGUGCCUUCAGCUUCCCCUGUACUGCUGAGGUUACAGGGUCUCUCUGUGUCCUUGCAUUUCCUGAGAGAAUAAGUCAGUCCCUUAAAAUGAGAAUCAAGAGAUUCUUCCAAUAAAUGUGCUCCUAAGAGUCAUGUCUUUUCUCUUUGCUGUCUUGGCGACAUAGGUUUUGGGGAACCUAGCGUGUGUGCUUAGUUGGGAAUGGUAGGAGUUAGUUCACUUCUUCCUAGUUGCUUAUUUUACCCUCCAAAAGUUGACCAGUGCCCUGGAACUUUUGUCAAGGAAUGGAUAUUAUGUCCCACCACACCCUCUUCCCUGCCUGAGGAAGUUCGAGCGAUGGACUGUUUCCCAUCUGUUGGCCUUCAUGGAAUUAUAUUUCAGCUCACACCUCUCUCGUC